CCUACGGGUGGCUGCAGUGGGGAAUAUUGGACAAUGGGGGGAACCCUGAUCCAGCCAUGCCGCGUGUGUGAAGAAGGCCCUCGGGUUGUAAAGCACUUUCAGUGAGGAAGAACGCCUGGUGGUUAAUACCCAUCAGGAAAGACAUCACUCACAGAAGAAGCACCGGCUAACUCCGUGCCAGCAGCCGCGGUAAUACGGAGGGUGCGAGCGUUAUUCGGAAUUACUGGGCGUAAAGCGCGCGUAGGUGGCUUGAUAAGCCGGUUGUGAAAGCCCCGGGCUCAACCUGGGAACGGCAUCCGGAACUGUCAAGCUAGAGUGCAGGAGAGGAAGGUAGAAUUCCCGGUGUAGCGGUGAAAUGCGUAGAGAUCGGGAGGAAUACCAGUGGCGAAGGCGGCCUUCUGGACUGACACUGACACUGAGGUGCGAAAGCGUGGGUAGCAAACAGGAUUAGAUACCCGAGUAGUC
rnacentral:rRNA from 1 species